AUCGAGGGCGGAAGUGGGUGUGGUCUUCGGUCCGAAGGCCUGGCUGCGGGGAGUGGGUGCGGCGGGAGUUGGGGUGAUCGUUAACAUUUAGACUGGAGCUGUUUCCCUGGAGGUGCGCCCUUGGGAAGGGCCUGACUGUGUGAAGAGUGGACAGCAGUCCUCCGCCCCCUGCUGGGCUCGCGGUAAAGUGGUGGCUCCUGUGUCCCCGCUGUUCCGCCUGUGCACUGGCCGACUUUUUAAAGCCAUGCCCCAAAGUGCUGUCCUCCUGCAAAACCGAGCCCGAAGGGACAGUGCAAAGUGAAGUCAAACUGAGUAUUUACCUGGGUAGGACGCCAAAUUAUUUGAAAAUAAAUACUAAAAACGUUAGUAUAAAUUGAACCUAGCUUCAGCUAGACCAGGCACCAGGUGUGUAAAUCGGUACACCUUUUAAAAUAGCAGUCAGGUUCUGUUUGCAGAUGACCAAACAAAUCUCACCCUUACCCUUUGACUCUCUAUCCUGCUGCUAGAGAUGUAGCCUAAGAAAAUAAUCAGAUGCACCCAAAGAGCUUUGCACAAGGAUAUUCAUGGGAGCCCUUAUGGUUUUGAAGCAUAUUUAGUGGUCGGGAAGAGUGCUCAUGAUGCGAAGCUAACUGAACUAUAUAUACAGAAUGAUCCAGACUUUGAAAGGAAAAACUAAAGAAAUACAUCUACAUAUUAAGUAGUGCAUGGCCCCAGAUGAGACCACCCUAAAGGAGCUGGCCGAGACCCUGCAACAGAAGAACAUUGACCACAUGCUGUGGCUUGAGCAACCAGAGAAUAUCGCCACUUGUAUUGCUCUCCGGCCCUACCCCAAGGAAGAAGUGGGCCAGUAUUUGAAGAAGUUCCGAUUGUUCAAGUAACUGCUGCUUUGAUGUGUUUGAAUACGCAGGCCACCCAUUCCAAAGCAUCAUGUGUUCCUUGCAGUGUCAGCUUGCUCCCGUCUUUCAGUUGUGACAAUUUCUUGAGGGUUAAGCACAUGUUCAUAUUAAAGUUGUC
rnacentral:lncRNA from 1 species